GAUGAACGCUGGCGGCGUGCUUAACACAUGCAAGUCGAACGAUGAAGCCCAGCUUGCUGGGUGGAUUAGUGGCGAACGGGUGAGUAACACGUGAGUAACCUGCCCUUAACUCUGGGAUAAGCCUGGGAAACUGGGUCUAAUACCGGAUAGGAGCGCCUACCGCAUGGUGGGUGUUGGAAAGAUUUAUCGGUUUUGGAUGGACUCGCGGCCUAUCAGCUUGUUGGUGAGGUAAUGGCUCACCAAGGCGACGACGGGUAGCCGGCCUGAGAGGGUGACCGGCCACACUGGACUGAGACACGGCCCAGACUCCUACGGGAGGCAGCAGUGGGGAAUAUUGCACAAUGGGCGAAAGCCUGAUGCAGCGACGCCGCGUGAGGGAUGACGGCCUUCGGGUUGUAAACCUCUUUCAGUAGGGAAGAAGCGAAAGUGACGGUACCUGCAGAAGAAGCACCGGCUAACUACGUG
rnacentral:rRNA from 1 species